AGUGAACGCUGGCGGUAGGCCUAACACAUGCAAGUCGAACGGCAGCACAGUAAGAGCUUGCUCUUACGGGUGGCGAGUGGCGGACGGGUGAGGAAUACAUCGGAAUCUACUUUUUCGUGGGGGAUAACGUAGGGAAACUUACGCUAAUACCGCAUACGACCUACGGGUGAAAGCAGGGGAUCUUCGGACCUUGCGCGAUUGAAUGAGCCGAUGUCGGAUUAGCUAGUUGGCGGGGUAAAGGCCCACCAAGGCGACGAUCCGUAGCUGGUCUGAGAGGAUGAUCAGCCACACUGGAACUGAGACACGGUACAGAGUCCUACGGGAGGCAGCAGUGGGGAAUAUUGGACAAUGGGCGCAAGCCUGAUCCAGCCAUACCGCGUGGGUGAAGAAGGCCUUCGGGUUGUAAAGCCCUUUUGUUGGGAAAGAAAAGCAGCAGGUUAAUACCCCGCUGUGCUGACGGUACCCAAAGAAUAAGCACCGGCUAACUUCGUG
rnacentral:rRNA from 1 species